rnacentral:rRNA from 1 species
GCCUACGGGGGGCAGCAGUAGGGAAUUUUCGUCAAUGGGCGCAAGCCUGAACGAGCAAUGCCGCGUGAACGAGGAAGGUCUUCGGAUCGUAAAGUUCUGUUGAAGGGGAAAAAGAGCGGAGAGAGGAAAUGAACUCCGAUUGAUAUUACCCUUCGAGGAAGUCACGGCUAACUACGUGCCAGCAGCCGCGGUAAUACGUAGGUGGCGAGCGUUAUCCGGAAUGAUUGGGCGUAAAGGGUGCGUAGACGGUGAUGCAAGUCUGGAGUGAAAGGCGGGGGCCCAACCCCCGGACUGCUCUGGAAACU